CCUACGGGUGGCAGCAGUGAGGAAUAUUGGUCAAUGGGCGGGAGCCUGAACCAGCCAAGUCGCGUGAGGGAAGAAGGUACUGAGUAUUGUAAACCUCUUUUGCCAGGGGACAAAGGCGGCCACGGGUGGCCGUAAGAGGGUACCUGGAGAAAAAGCAUCGGCUAACUCCGUGCCAGCAGCCGCGGUAAUACGGAGGAUGCGAGCGUUAUCCGGAUUUAUUGGGUUUAAAGGGUGCGCAGGCGGCGUGUCAAGUCAGCGGUAAAAUGUCGGGGCUCAACCCCGGCCGGCCGUUGAAACUGCCUUGCUGGAAUGCGGAUGCCGUGGGAGGAAUGUGUGGUGUAGCGGUGAAAUGCAUAGAUAUCACACAGAACACCGAUUGCGAAGGCAUCUCACGAAUCCGCGAUUGACGCUGAUGCACGAAAGCGUGGGUAUCAAACAGGAUUAGAUACCCCUGUAGUC
rnacentral:rRNA from 1 species